CCUACGGGAGGCAGCAGUGGGGAAUAUUGCACAAUGGGCGAAAGCCUGAUGCAGCAACGCCGCGUGAGCGAUGAAGGCCUUCGGGUCGUAAAGCUCUGUUCUCAAGGAAGAUAAUGACGGUACUUGUGGAGGAAGCCCCGGCUAACUACGUGCCAGCAGCCGCGGUAAUACGUCGGGGGCUAGCGUUAUCCGGAAUUACUGGGCGUAAAGGGUGCGUAGGUGGUUUCUUAAGUCAGAGGUGAAAGGCUACGGCUCAACCGUAGUAAGCCUUUGAAACUGGGGAACUUGAGUGGAGGAGAGGAGAGUGGAAUUCCUGGUGUAGCGGUGAAAUGCGUAGAUAUUACGAAGAACCCCGGUUGCGAAGGCAGCUCGCUGGACUGUGACUGACACUGAGGCACGAAAGCGUGGGGAGCGAACAGGAUUAGAUACCCCAGUAGUC
rnacentral:rRNA from 1 species